rnacentral:rRNA from 1 species
GACGAACGCUGGCGGCGUGCUUAACACAUGCAAGUCGAACGGUAAGGCCCUUCGGGGUACACGAGUGGCGAACGGGUGAGUAACACGUGGGUGAUCUGCCCUGCACUUCGGGAUAAGCCUGGGAAACUGGGUCUAAUACCGGAUAGGACCACUGCCUGCAUGGGUGGUGGUGGAAAGCUUUUGCGGUGUGGGAUGGGCCCGCGGCCUAUCAGCUUGUUGGUGGGGUGAUGGCCUACCAAGGCGACGACGGGUAGCCGGCCUGAGAGGGUGACCGGCCACACUGGGACUGAGAUACGGCCCAGACUCCGCCGGGAGGCAGCAGUGGGGAAUAUUGCACAAUGGGCGCAAGCCUGAUGCAGCAACGCCGCGUGAGGGACGACGGCCUUCGGGUUGUAAACCUCUUUCAGCACCGACGAAGCGCAAGUGACGGUAGGUGCAGAAGAAGGACCGGCCAACUACGUGCCAGCAGCCGCCGUAA